rnacentral:tRNA from 1 species
GUCCGAGUGCUGGAAUUGGUAGACAGGGCGAGCUUAAGUUUCGCUGGUUUUAAGCCAUAAACGUUCAAGUCGUUUCUUGGAUA